GCCUGGGUGGCUCAGUCGGUUGGGCGUCUGACUUUGGCUCAGGUCAUGAUCUCGCGGUCCGUGGGUUCAAGCCCCACGUUGGGCU
rnacentral:tRNA from 1 species